UGCUAAUUAAUGACAUGUCCAAGU
rnacentral:siRNA from 1 species